rnacentral:tRNA from 1 species
UCGGCCUCGUCGACGGGCAUGACCUGGACCUUCAGCGUCCAGCUGGGGAACUCGCCGCGGGCGAUCGUGUCGUACAGGUCGGC